AGAGUUUGAUCCUGGCUCAGGAUGAACGCUGGCGGCGUGCCUAAUACAUGCAAGUAGAACGCUGAAGCUUGGUGCUUGCACCGAGCGGAUGAGUUGCGAACGGGUGAGUAACGCGUAGGUAACCUGCCUCUUAGCGGGGGAUAACUAUUGGAAACGAUAGCUAAUACCGCAUAAAAGUCGACAUUGCAUGAUGUUGACUUGAAAGGUGCAAUUGCAUCACUAAGAGAUGGACCUGCGUUGUAUUAGCUAGUUGGUGAGGUAACGGCUCACCAAGGCGACGAUACAUAGCCGACCUGAGAGGGUGAUCGGCCACACUGGGACUGAGACACGGCCCAGACUCCUACGGGAGGCAGCAGUAGGGAAUCUUCGGCAAUGGGGGCAACCCUGACCGAGCAACGCCGCGUGAGUGAAGAAGGUUUUCGGAUCGUAAAGCUCUGUUGUAAGUCAAGAACGAGUGUGAGAGUGGAAAGUUCACACUGUGACGGUAGCUUACCAGAAAGGGACGGCUAACUACGUGCCAGCAGCCGCGGUAAUACGUAGGUCCCGAGCGUUGUCCGGAUUUAUUGGGCGUAAAGCGAGCGCAGGCGGUUUGAUAAGUCUGAAGUUAAAGGCUGUGGCUCAACCAUAGUUCGCUUUGGAAACUGUCAAACUUGAGUGCAGAAGGGGAGAGUGGAAUUCCAUGUGUAGCGGUGAAAUGCGUAGAUAUAUGGAGGAACACCGGUGGCGAAAGCGGCUCUCUGGUCUGUAACUGACGCUGAGGCUCGAAAGCGUGGGGAGCAAACAGGAUUAGAUACCCUGGUAGUCCACGCC
rnacentral:rRNA from 1 species